ACUAUCGCAAGAAACUUUACAAAGAAGAUGAAUUUUAUCAAUUCUGUUCGAUAUAUCAUCUUCACACUCUGUCUUCUAUGUGUCAAGUCUACAUCAGCUGUUGAGGUACAAGGCCUCACACUCUUUACAGAUAGACUUGAGCUGAAAUUGCAUCGUUGGAAUAUUAUACCCUGCCACUUUAGUACAGAUGUUCCUCUCAGCCUAAAGCAGCUGCAUCUAGAAUGGGGUAAAACUCCCUAUGGCAGUGAGAGUUAUAUCCCUUUGAUCAGCAUAAGUGGCAGCACUCAAGUGAUUCAAAAUAAAUUAAAGGCACGUUAUAAAGUUUAUGGAUCAGUUAUCAACAAAGGCAACUGCUCUCUGGUUAUUAAUCCUGCCAGAAGCAUGGAUUCCGGUACCUUUGAAGUCCGACUGACUGUUGAUGGUGUACUAUAUGAACCCGUCCCAAAAAUCAGGAUCCAAGUUCCAAAUAUGAUGGAAACAAUGGAUGAGACACAGAAAAGAAGCCAAGCAAAUGAAGAAAUGAGCAAUCAGGCUCAUAGGCACAGAAUCCUGAAGAAGACAGAAGACAUCUUCGGAGAUAUCAAGAAUGAAUAUGUUGUUCCAGUAGCUGUACUGCUGUCUGUGUCUGUAAUUGCUGUGUUUGGAGCUCUUGGAUGGCUUCUGCAUAAAAAAUGUCAAGAGAAGAAAAGGCCUAAUGAUGUAGAAAACCCAAGAGAAGCAAAACAGUUAAACCAGACAGUGACUAGAGCUAAAAGCCAUGAUAGGAAAGGACAUUUUGUACAGACUUCAGUUCAGGACCCUGAGCUGGGGGAGACCUCGGGAACAAAAGAGGAACCAGAGAAACCCAUUUUGCCCUCACCUGAAUAUGGCUUUCUAAAAGGGGGGGCAUCACCAAAAAGUCAGAAAAGGAAAUUCAAAAAGGUGCGGCAUCAUAUCAUAAUUAAAGAGAUCAUCAGUGAUGUGAAAGGAUCUGCACAAAAAUUUGAAACCUACACGCUACAGCUUUCAUCAAAGGAAUCGCCACCAAAUAAAGAUAAUAAGGUGCUACGCUGUAUAAGGCUUGAAGAGAUCUUAAAUGAUAAAGAAGGCGCUGCUCUGACACAAAGACCAGUGGAGUCUAAAAUCAUUUCUUUGCCACUGCAGCCUUCAGAACCUUCUGUAAUUGUGAGUUUGCCACCUUGUGUACCAACUGAGGGACUUAUUGCUAAUGAGGAACGUGCCCCAAUGGUACAAAAGCUGGUAGAGAAAGAAACUGCUUCUAUGGCAACACAGACUGAUGAACAUGAGAGUUUGCCACCUUGUGUACCAACUGAUGUACCCAUUGCUGGUAAGGAAAGUGUCCCGCCAGUGCUAGAUUCGGUCAAGCCAGAACUGACUUCUUUGCCACCUUGUGUACUAACUGAAGAGCCCAUAGCUGAUAAGGAGAGUAUCCCUACAGUACAAGAGCCAGUGGUGCAAGAAACUUCUUCCUUGCUGCCUUGUGUAUCAACGGAUGGGCUCAUUCCUGAUUCCUUGCCACAUGACGUGGUUCAUCAUGAAGAAUCAGGGGAAAAACUACCACAAGACCACAAAAAAGUCUGUAACUUUUAUUGGAAGGAUGACAGACUCUAUUAUGGCCCAACACUUUGUAAAUAUUAUUGGAAGGAUCACAAAUUCUUUUAUGGCCCAGAUGUUUGUAAAUUUUAUUGGAACAGUCCCAAAAAAAUUGUUAGCAGGAAAGUUUGUACAUUUUCCUUGCCAAACAGGCACAAGAAAAAAAUAUUUGCAAAAGUUUGCAGAAUAUAUAGGCCAGAGCCGAAAGAAAAGUGCAAAUUUUACAGAUUUUCGACCAAGAUAUGAAAAUGCUUGUGAAAAUGUUGACAUAUUUUUUCAAACCUUUUGAAAACCAAACCAAGAUAAUGAAUGGAUCAUUAGAAGAAUACUACGGACUGGUUUUCUUUCAACCAGGGCAGCCAUCAGAGGGUGGGAUUGGGGAAAGCCAAAAUUUGGUUUCUGAUGGCAGCCCUGACUUUGUUUGACAACGUUUUGAAGAUUUCAAAGCAUGCAACAUUGUUAUCAGCAUUAUCAUCUGAAUCAUAGUUAUGGUCUUGAUUUGGCAACAAAGAAAUAAAUAAUUAAU